UAGGGAAUCUUCCGCAAUGGACGCAAGUCUGACGGAGCAACGCCGCGUGAGUGAAGAAGGAUUUCGGUUCGUAAAACUCUGUUGUUAGAGAAGAACAGCGCAUAGAGUAACUGUUAUGCGUGUGACGGUAUCUAACCAGAAAGCCACGGCUAACUACGUGCCAGCAGCCGCGGUAAUACGUAGGUGGCAAGCGUUGUCCGGACUUAUUGGGCGUAAAGCGAGCGCAGGCGGUCAAUUAAGUCUGAUGUGAAAGCCCCCGGCUCAACCGGGGAGGGUCAUUGGAAACUGGUUGACUUGAGGGCAGAAGGGGAGAGUGGAAUUCCAUGUGUAGCGGUGAAAUACGACGAUAUAUGGAGGAACACCAGUGGCGAAGGCGACUCUCUGGACUGUAACUGACGCUGAGGCUCGAAAGCGUGGGUAGCAAACAGG
rnacentral:rRNA from 1 species